rnacentral:rRNA from 1 species
ACUCCUACGGGAGGCAGCAGUGGGGAAUAUUGCACAAUGGGCGCAAGCCUGAUGCAGCCAUGCCGCGUGUAUGAAGAAGGGCCUUCGGGUUGAUAAAGUACUUUCAGCAGUGAGGAAGGUGGAUAUGUUAAUAGCAUAUUUUAAUUUUGGAACCGUUUUAAGCUGCAGAAGAAGCACCGGCUAACUCCGUGCCAGCAGCCGCGGUAAUACGGAGGGUGCGAGCGUUAAUCGGAAUUACUGGGCGUAAAGCGCAUGCAGGUGGUUUGUUAAGUCAGAUGUGAAAGCCCGGGGCUCAACCUCGGAAUUGCAUUUGAAACUGGCAAAGGCUUAGAGUACUGUAGAGGGGGGUAGAAUUUCAGGUGUAGCGGUGAAAUGCG